UUGGGUUUGAUGGAAGCCUUUGAAUAUGAUGGCGAGGCUUCUCCGAAAUGCUUCUUCUCUCGGAUGCCUCUGUUUUUGCAACCUCUCUCUCCGACUUUAUAGGAAAGUCUUAUUAGGGGCAUACACUCAACUCUCCUACUUUUCCUCCAAAAGGUAGAAGAAAAUCCAAGUCAGACGUCAAAGAAAGAUUUGGUGCUCAAGUACUAUCAGAUCACUACAUCAUUUGGAAAAGGUUCUAUCAUGUGGCUUGGCCACUCUGCCCCUGUCAAACAAGUUCCAGUUGUGUCCACAGCUUCAUUUGCUUUGGAUAUUGCAUUUGGGAUUGGAGGACUUCCAAAGAAACUUAAUGCGACAAUCCUGACAGGUGAUUUUACUAAAUUGGAUUUUGAAUCCUACAAUGGGCCUUCCAGAGGAUAUAAUCAAUUGGGGAGCAUUGGAUACGGCACUGAGUAGUUCUUUUUGAAGUUAAGAAAGCAGCAGUUUCACGUAAGCAAGAAUUGGCUUAGAUAGCAUACACUCAUCUUGAGGUUGUCGCGGGAGAACUUAGCAAAUCUUGCCAUGGGGACAGCAGAAACAAAAUUGCUUCUGGAUAGGGGAAAGAUGCAUUGUGCAUUUCAAGCUCUAUGCCACAUGCUUGCUUAUUUAUCAAUGUAAUUAGUUUAGGACAAUUCUUUAUUGAAUUUAUUAGAAUCUCUAUGUUAUAGGUUUUUUUUUUUGGUUAAUCUGCAACUAAAUUCCAUCAGACACAAACAAUUCCAUUAAAUGGAUCCAUUUUGAAUAUGUACAAAUCAUUUUAUUACA